CUUCACUGUCAGCCUCACAGCCGCGUCAUUGGUUCCUUCCAGGAAAUGGACUGGGACAUUGGAGAGCUGUAAAGCGUAAUGUAGACCACAGGAUUUGUUUGUGCUGCGUCAGCCCACCAAUUCUCCGCUCAUUGCUACUGUGUGUAAGCGUUUGGUUCGAGGAGCUGGCAUUCUAUUGGAUCUGGGUGCCAAAGUCAGGGAGGCCGGCUUUCUUUCCCACUUGUGGUGGUUUUUCACUGCUAUCCAGUCAUGUGUGAGCACAUGUGAAUGCUGUGAUCCUCUAUUCUUGGGCUGAUGCUGAUCCUUGUAGGCCACCCCUGCUGGUAAUCCCCAGUUCUUGCAGCUGUGUCUGAUCAUAUAUUUGAUAUUAUAUCGUAUAACUCCAGUUGCGGUGUGUGUGUGUCCUGCUAUUUGCACAACUCAUGGUUAAGGCCAGUUCUUUUAAG